AGGAAUGUAGCUCAGUGGGAAAGCACUUGCCUAACAUAUAUGAGGCCCUGGGUUCAAUUCCCAGUAUCACAA
rnacentral:tRNA from 1 species